rnacentral:rRNA from 1 species
CCUACGGGAGGCAGCAGUAGGGAAUCUUUCACAAUGGGCGAAAGCCUGAUGGAGCAACGCCGCGUGCAGGAUGAAGGCCUUCGGGUUGUAAACUGCUUUUAUAAGCGAGAAAUAUGAUGGUAACUUAUGAAUAAGGAUCGGCUAAAUACGUGCCAGCAGCCGCGGUCAUACGUAGGAUCCGAGCAUUAUCCGGAGUGACUGGGUGUAAAGAGUUGCGUAGGUGGCAUAAUAAGUAGCUAGUGAAAUCUGGUGGCUCAACCAUUCAGACUAUUAGCUAAACUGUUAAGCUCGAGACCGUUAGGGGUAACUGGAAUUUCUAGUGUAGGAGUGAAAUCCGUAGAUAUUAGAAGGAACACCAAUAGCGUAGGCAGGUUGCUGGGACGGUUCUGACACUAAGGCACGAAAGCGUAGGGAGCAAACGGGAUUAGAUACCCCAGUAGUC